GGGGUUUUUUUUCCCAGAAAACAAAACACAACAAAAUCAACCACAGGUGGUUGCAAAGGAGCAAGACUUCACUAGCAAAUAGGAAAAAAGCCUCAGGAAAAAUAACUGAAUUUUCCCCUUGAGAUAUGGAGUGAGGAUUGAAGUAAAAGAAUCUCGGAGAAACUUUGAUGACAAACUUUCCUAUCACUUCCCACCUUGUGAGGCUAUCCUGGACUACCAGCCUGGGAUACAAAGAAAGACCAUUCUGUUUGAUGAAACUUAGGAGUGGAAAAAAAGAAAAUUUGCGCACAGGAACAAGUUAGAACUCCAGCAAAAAUAUGAAAGGCUUUCAUCCUUGUCCACUCUAAGGAAUAAUUGCUGGGGAAAAAAGUUCCUAUGAGAACAAGAAGCUUUCUGCUGACUGGAGCUGCUGUCUUUUCAAUAGCUUUUCAAAUGCUUCCUUGUGAUCUUUGGUG